rnacentral:rRNA from 1 species
CGGACGGGUGAGUAAUGCCUAGGAAUCUGCCUGGUAGUGGGGGACAACGUUUCGAAAGUAACGCUAAUACCGCAUACGUCCUACGGGAGAAAGCAGGGGACCUUCGGGCCUUGCGCUAUCAGAUGAGCCUAGGUCGGAUUAGCUAGUUGGUGAGGUAAUGGCUCACCAAGGCGACGAUCCGUAACUGGUCUGAGAGGAUGAUCAGUCACACUGGAACUGAGACACGGUCCAGACUCCUACGGGAGGCAGCAGCC